AAUGAACGCUGGCGGCGUGCUUCAGACAUGCAAGUCGAACGUGAAAGUCCCUGGAGUGAGUAAAGUAGGCGCACGGGUGAGUAAUACUUGGGUAACGUACCGUAUCGCUGGGGAGUAACCAGGCGAAAGCUUGGCUAAUACCGAAUGAACCGUCCUUUCCUGCGGGUUAGGCCGGUAAAGCCGUAAGGCGCGAUAUGAGCGGCCCAUGUCCCAUUAGCUAGUUGGCGGGGUAAAGGCCCACCAAGGCACGAUGGGUAGCUGGUCUGAGAGGAUGAUCAGCCACACUGGUACUGAAACACGGACCAGACUCCUACGGGAGGCAGCAGUUAGGAAUUUUGCGCAAUGGGCGAAAAGCCUGACGCAGCAACGCCGCGUGGGG
rnacentral:rRNA from 1 species